rnacentral:lncRNA from 1 species
CCUGUGGUAGGAAGCAAGCGAAACCUCUGUUCAGUUCCUUCAGGCUUCCAGUUAUUGUUUUCCACAUGAAUGUCCUUGAAUUCAACCUUGCACACGCACAAUUCAGGUUUCAGCCACUGUCUUCUUAUUAGAGUGGAGACACAAAUAAAAUGGAAAGUGAUCCAAGAAAAUGGCUGAAGAAAAUACUGAAUGCAGAGGGAGCCACAAAUGCAAAGGCCCUGUGGUGGGCUCAGCUUCUCAUGUUUCAGGAAUAGCAAAAGACCACAUGGUAUCUGAAGAUGAAACAUGAAGAAAAUGUCUUCUACUGGCCUUGAUGGAGGAAACUCACCACAUUAUGAAGACAGUUCCAUGGUAGGGGCCCAAGAAUGGCUUCUAG